GACGAACGCUGGCGGCGUGCUUAACACAUGCAAGUCGAACGGUGAAGCGCCUUCCUUUUUGGUGGGUGUGGAUGAGUGGCGAACGGGUGAGUAACACGUGAGUAACCUGCCCCCUUCUUCUGGAUAACCGCAUGAAAGUGUGGCUAAUACGGGAUAUUCUGGGUCUGUCGCAUGAUGGGUCUGGGAAAGAUAUUGUUUCGGUGGGUGAUGGGCUCGCGGCCUAUCAGCUUGUUGGUGGGGUGAUGGCCUACCAAGGCGGUGACGGGUAGCCGGCCUGAGAGGGCGGACGGUCACACUGGGACUGAGACACGGCGCAGACUACUACGGGAGGCAGCAGUGGGGAAUAUUGAACAAUGGGCGCAAGGCUGAUGCAGCGACGCCGCGUGAGGGAUGGAGGCCGUCGGGUUGUGAACCUCUUUCGCCAGUGAAGCAGGCCUGCCUAGUUUGUGGGUGGGUUGACGGUAGCUGGAUAAGAAGCGCCGGCUAACUACGUG
rnacentral:rRNA from 1 species